rnacentral:rRNA from 1 species
AUUGAACGCUGGCGGCAGGCCUAACACAUGCAAGUCGAACGGUAACAGGAAGAAGCUUGCUUCUUUGCUGACGAGUGGCGGACGGGUGAGUAAUGUCUGGGAAACUGCCUGAUGGAGGGGGAUAACUACUGGAAACGGUAGCUAAUACCGCAUAAUGUCGCAAGACCAAAGAGGGGGACCUUCGGGCCUCUUGCCAUCGGAUGUGCCCAGAUGGGAUUAGCUAGUAGGUGGGGUAACGGCUCACCUAGGCGACGAUCCCUAGCUGGUCUGAGAGGAUGACCAGCCACACUGGAACUGAGACACGGUCCAGACUCCUACGGGAGGCGGCAGUGGGGAAUAUUGCACAAUGGGCGCAAGCCUGAUGCAGCUAUGCCGCGUGUAUGAAGAAGGCCUUCGGGUUGUAAAGUACUUUCAGCGGGGAGGAAGGGAGUAAAGUUAAUACCUUUGCUCAUUGACGUUACCCGCAGAAGAAGCACCGGCUAACUCCGUG